rnacentral:rRNA from 1 species
GACGAACGCUGGCGGCGUGCUUAACACAUGCAAGUCGAACGAUGAACCCGGAGCUUGCUCUGGGGGAUUAGUGGCGAACGGGUGAGUAACACGUGAGUAACCUGCCCUGGACUCUGGGAUAAGCGUUGGAAACGACGUCUAAUACCGGAUAGGACCUUGGAUCGCAUGAUCUGGGGUGGAAAGUUUUUUCGGUCUGGGAUGGACUCGCGGCCUAUCAGCUUGUUGGUGAGGUAAUGGCUCACCAAGGCGUCGACGGGUAGCCGGCCUGAGAGGGUGACCGGCCACACUGGGACUGAGACACGGCCCAGACUCCUACGGGAGGCAGCAGUGGGGAAUAUUGCACAAUGGGCGAAAGCCUGAUGCAGCAACGCCGCGUGCGGGAGGACGGCCUUCGGGUUGUAAACCGCUUUUAGUAGGGAAGAAGGGCUUCGGCUUGACGGUACCUGCAGAAAAAGGACCGGCUAACUACGUG